rnacentral:rRNA from 1 species
GAUGAACGCUGGCGGCGUGCCUAACACAUGCAAGUCGAACGGACAGACGGUGAGCUUGCUCUCUUCCCGUUAGCGGCUGGCGGGUGAGUAACACGUGCAUCACCUUCUUAUUUUUCUUGGUUAACUACGUAAGACCGGAUACAAUACUAGAUCAUAUGUUGAACCGCUUGGAUCAAUGGAUCUUGACGGCUUUGCCGUUUCUUUUAGAUGGUUUCGCGCCGGAUUAGCUAGUUGGUAAGGUAAAGGCCUACCAAGGCUACGAUGCGUAGCCGAUCUGAGAGGAUGAUCGGCCACACUGGAACUGAGACACGGUCCAGACUCCUACGGGAGGCAGCAGUGGGGAAUAUUGGGCAAUGGGCGAAAGCCUGAUGGAGCAACGCCGCGUGGGUGAUGAAGGUCUUCGGGUCGUAAAGCUCUGUUGUUGGGAAAGAAAAGAAGUGGGAGAAAAUAAGGAUGUGUUGACGGUACCUAAAGAAUAAGCAACGGCUAACUACGUG